rnacentral:lncRNA from 1 species
GCUACAUCGGCAAGUGUAGGAGAAGCAGGGCCGUGGCCAAAGACAAAAGCAUUGAGCGUGUCUGACCAGAAAUAUGAUGCAGCUAUCAGCAGUGAUUCAUUCCUAUGCAUAUCGGCAAUAGACAACCUAAUGCAUUGGUCUAGCUUUCUCUCGCCCCACUGGACUAUAUUUGAGUUGCUGACCCUCAAGAACCAAUCCUUCCACCCCACGGUAGGGCUGGGCCAAGAACGGAAAGUAUCCUUCCACAGAUCCAAAGAAAAGUUCUCGGCUCUAAAAGGGAUCCUGUUGGUUUCUGCCUUAAUGAGGUCGGUUGGAUCUGGAUCCCUAACGGGCCAAGGCAUUUUAGGUGUGCUU